AGAAUCAACGCUGGCGGCGUGCCUAACACAUGCAAGUCGAACGAGAAAGUGGAGCAAUCCAUGAGUAAAGUGGCGACCGGGUGAGUAACACGUGACUAACCUACCCUACAGUGGGGGGAUAACUCCGGGAAAACCGGGGCUAAUACCGCAUAACAUCGUAAGAUCAAAGGAGCAAUUCGCUGAAGGAGGGGGUCGCGGCUGAUUAGUUAGUUGGUGAGGUAACGGCUCACCAAGACGAAGAUCAGUAGCCGGCCUGAGAGGGCGCACGGCCACACUGGAACUGAAACACGGUCCAGACUCCUACGGGAGGCAGCAGUGGGAAUUUUGCGCAAUGGGGGAAACCCUGACGCAGCAACGCCGCGUGGAGGAUGAAGUCCCUUGGGAUGUAAACUCCUUUCGAUCGGGACGAUUAUGACGGUACCGGAAGAAGAAGCACCGGCUAACUCUGUGCCAGCAGCCG
rnacentral:rRNA from 1 species